UUUUUUUUUUUUUUUUAAAGAUUUUAUUUAUUUAUUCAUUAGAGACACACAGAGAGAGAGGCAGAGACACAGGCAGAGGGAGAAGCAGGCUCCAUGCAGGAAGCCCAAUGUGGGACUUGAUCCCGGAACUCCGGGAUCAACUGCUGAGCUACCCAAGCGUCCCAUAGCCUGAUAAGUUCUAUAUAGAUUUUGGAUACUAGCCCUUUAUGUGAUACAUCAUUUGCAAAUAUUUUCUCUCAUUCUGUAGGUUACUUUUGGUUUUGUUGACUGUUUCCUUUGCUGUGCAAAAGUUUAUCUUUAUGAAGUCCCAAUAGUCCAUUUUAGCCUUUGUUUCCUAUCCUGUUCAUUUCUUUAAUAAUCUAUAUAUCCCAACAAAUUAAAUGGAUAACAAACAACAAAAAACAAAACACAUUUUAAACUAAUAAGAGAUACACAAAAUUCAUAUAUGGUUAUUAAUAAGCAUUGAAUAAUUAACAGGAUAUUUUAAAAAGUACAAUUACUUUUCUAUUUAUAAUUAUGUAUGUGUGUUAGGGUUCUCAAGAGAACAGAACCAAUAUAUAUAUACAGAGAGACAGAGAAAACUAGUUAGCUAGCUGGCUAGAGAGAGGAAAGACUGAACGAUUAUAAGGAAUUGCCUAACAUGAUUAUGGAGGCUGCAGUUAGCAAGCUGGAGACCUAAGAGAGCUGAUGUGUAGUUAUAUUCUGAUUCUGAUGGCCUGAGAAAUAGGAGAGCCAUGAGUUUAAGUUCUAGUCCAAAGCUGGCCAACUCAAUACCCAAGAAGAGCUGAUGUUUCAAUUCAAGUCUGAAGGUAGGAGAAAAAAAUCAAUGUCCUAGCUCAAAGCAGUCAGGCAGGAGGCAUUCCCUCUUACUCAGUCUUUUUGUUCCAUUUAGGUCUUCAGCUGAUUGAAUGAGGCUUACCCACGUUAGGGAGGGUAACCUGCUUUAUUCAGUGUACACAUACAAAUGUUAGCUUAUCCAGAAACACCCUUACAGACAAACUCAGCAUACUGUUGACCAAAUGUUGGGCACCUGUAACCCAGUCAGGUUGAUAUAUAAAAUUGACCAUCAGAAGUCCAGCCACGUGAAUUUGAAAUCCAUAUAUGCAACUCCUUUUUUUAAAAAACAUUUUAUUUAUUUAUUCAUGAGAGACACACAGAGAGAGAGGCAGAGACACAGGCAGAGGGAAAAGCAGGCCCCAUGCAGGGAGCCCGCCAUGGGACUCGAUCCCAGGACUCCAGGAUCAUGCCCCAGGCUGACGGCAGGCGCCAAACCUCUGAGCCACCCAGGGAUCCCCAUAUAUGCAACUCCUUAAACCAAAUUUAAUCUCUAAAUAAUGACAAUAGCAAGGUCAUAAUUCUACCUAACAUGAUACAACUAUCCUACAUAUAACCAAAAAUAUACUAACUCUUUCCUCAGAAGGGGAGUUCAUAUUGUUGAGUGAUGUUUACUCUUCUUGAUAUCCCAUAAUCCAAAUUCUACAAUGUAAAAUUAACAAUACUUAAAUAUUAUGAUGUAAACAAUAUAUCUUACAUUAUAUGAUAAGGAAAUAAGAAUGAAGAAAACAAAGAUAUUUGUGAUAUACACACACAUACAUGCAUAACAAAAUAAGGAGAAAUGCUCAUGACAAUUACAAUCUUCAUUUCUAUAACUAGUCACAUGGUUAUCUCUGGUAUUUAUAACUAACUUCUUCCACUACCCAUUCUGAAUUCCCUUGGUCUUCAGCAAGCACCUCAGCUGGUCAUGAUUCUUUACCUGGUGGGAUGACCCAAAUCUUCAUUCCUGAAGUGUAUAAGCCAUUAGUAGUUCUGUCUGGAUUGCGUUGUUGUAGUUUUCCAUUGGUCUUUCUCACAGGGCACAGUAAUACUAAGGGAUCCCCUGUAUUUCAGACAUACUCUUCUUUCCUUCUAUGGUGGAUGAGUAGUCCAAUUUCCCCUUGGUAAUCAGAAUCAAUCACCCUAGCCAGCAUAGUAACUCCUUUCUUUGCCUGUUGAUUCAGACACAUGAGGAACCCAAAGUGGCCAGGCAGCAGUCUUAACUUCCAGUUCAGUGGAAUCAUUGUUGUAUGGUCCGGUAGAAGCAUUCCUCCCUUUAGAACAAAGACCUCUAGGCCAGCGGAACAUAAGGCUAUGGGAACAGGAACCAAAAACUUUGCUACUGGAUUACUAGGGGUAAUAGUGAGUGCUACCACUCCUAUUUCUACCCCUGGAUUCCUGGACCUAUGAAUUCUGACUAUGGAAGAAACAGCACCGUAUAUAAGGUAUUUGAAGUUCUAAUAAAAUUCAUCUAAGAGAAGUAUACAUUUGUAACCAGAUAAUCUGUCAGGUAAAUGUGAUUAAACUUUAUGUUUUAAAAAUAUUCUCUAAUGCAGAUGUCAUAAAAUACUCUGUGGUGCAAGAUUUGGAAAUGAGACUGGCCACCAGACUGAGUAGGUGAGACUCUUUGCAAAGUGUAAUGAACGAACAAUAUGAUUUACAUGUUCCAUGUGCUCAGGUCAUUUUAGUCAGGCAUGCAAAGUUUAUAGGCAUUAAGAAUUAACUUAUUAUUGUAUUUUUCUGCAUAUUAGAGAACUUGGAAAAUAAAAAUAUAAAUUUCUCCUGAUGUAUCAAUGGAAAAAGUAUUUAAAGCAGAUGUAUAUUUGCAUUACAUAAACUCAGUGUAACAAAUGUAUUGAGUACCUACUAAGGCCAGGUACUUGAGUAUACAAAUAUAAACAGGAUAGAGUUCACAUUCCCCAUGAGGUUAUCAUCUAAUGGGUGGGGGUGGGGGGCAUAAGAGAUACAUUCUAAUUAAUAAAGAGUGAGGUAAAACAGAGGAACCUGCUACCUAAGGUAGCAAGUUGAAUGCAUGAUUAGAUCUGUUCUUUCCUGAAAUCCCACCAAAAUGACAGUAAAAGGAUUUUCUAAAGGACUCACAAAGACACAGAGAACAGAAGGGGAGAAAACUGGAAGAAUACUGGAAGCUGGAAAGCAAAUGGACUAGUCACAACUGACUUAGCAGAACCAGAAAAGUUGAAUCCUAAGCCUACAGUAGAAAAAAAGCAAGUGAAAUAUGUUAUAGAACUCUCAAAUAACCUGGGAAAUACAGGACCUGAAGUACCUUUGAAAAUGUAGGUAAGGAGGAGCUAAAAGUCUGAAAGACUGUUUACAAAUAAGCUUCCUACAACUCUGUCUCACCCAGAAGAAUACUCCCAAAGUUUUCUAGACUCUGGAAAGUGAAACAGAAGGAGUCUGGACCAAGAGGCAUGCAUAUAUGAGGGCAGGGGUGUUUUACUGAGAAUAGAGGGAUUAAAUAAACUUUUACUAACUGAAUGCAGUCUUUUUCUACUGCCAGGAUCUCAGAAUGCUGGCUGCCAGAUAGCAUAUUGGCAAAGUCUUCUCUGGAGGUUAUGACCCGCCCAAGUGAAAAGAUCUAAAAUACUAUGUUUUCAAUUCUUUGUUUUAGGUGACCAUUCUGUGCAUUGUAAGAUUUUUAGCAGCAUUCCUCUCUGCCCCAGUAGAUACCAGUUGCACUGCUCCCCCAGUUGUGACAACCAAAAAUGUCCCCAGACAUUGUCAGUGUCCUUAGGGAAGGGGAAUAGAUAAGGCCCUCAAUUAAGAACCACUGGCCUACAGUGAUGCCUACAGUCAAAUACCUCUAUCCAUGAGCGUCCAUUUAGCUUUGUAGUGCCUUUCUGCUGACUGUGAGCAGGGAGCCAAUGUUCACCAGGUAGUCAAGGAAAAAUGAGAAAAAAACUUGGAGGAAAUAGGUUAU
rnacentral:lncRNA from 1 species